AGAGUUUGAUCAUGGCUCAGAUUGAACGCUGGCGGCAGGCCUAACACAUGCAAGUCGAGCGGUAGCACAGAGAGCUUGCUCUCGGGUGACGAGCGGCGGACGGGUGAGUAAUGUCUGGGAAACUGCCUGAUGGAGGGGGAUAACUACUGGAAACGGUAGCUAAUACCGCAUAAUGUCGCAAGACCAAAGUGGGGGACCUUCGGGCCUCAUGCCAUCAGAUGUGCCCAGAUGGGAUUAGCUAGUAGGUGGGGUAACGGCUCACCUAGGCGACGAUCCCUAGCUGGUCUGAGAGGAUGACCAGCCACACUGGAACUGAGACACGGUCCAGACUCCUACGGGAGGCAGCAGUGGGGAAUAUUGCACAAUGGGCGCAAGCCUGAUGCAGCCAUGCCGCGUGUGUGAAGAAGGCCUUCGGGUUGUAAAGCACUUUCAGCGGGGAGGAAGGCGUUAAGGUUAAUAACCUUGGCGAUUGACGUUACCCGCAGAAGAAGCACCGGCUAACUCCGUGCCAGCAGCCGCGGUAAUACGGAGGGUGCAAGCGUUAAUCGGAAUUACUGGGCGUAAAGCGCACGCAGGCGGUCUGUCAAGUCGGAUGUGAAAUCCCCGGGCUCAACCUGGGAACUGCAUUCGAAACUGGCAGGCUAGAGUCUUGUAGAGGGGGGUAGAAUUCCAGGUGUAGCGGUGAAAUGCGUAGAGAUCUGGAGGAAUACCGGUGGCGAAGGCGGCCCCCUGGACAAAGACUGACGCUCAGGUGCGAAAGCGUGGGGAGCAAACAGGAUUAGAUACCCUGGUAGUCCACGCCGUAAACGAUGUCGAUUUGGAGGUUGUGCCCUUGAGGCGUGGCUUCCGGAGCUAACGCGUUAAAUCGACCGCCUGGGGAGUACGGCCGCAAGGUUAAAACUCAAAUGAAUUGACGGGGGCCCGCACAAGCGGUGGAGCAUGUGGUUUAAUUCGAUGCAACGCGAAGAACCUUACCUGGUCUUGACAUCCACAGAACUUAGCAGAGAUGCUUUGGUGCCUUCGGGAACUGUGAGACAGGUGCUGCAUGGCUGUCGUCAGCUCGUGUUGUGAAAUGUUGGGUUAAGUCCCGCAACGAGCGCAACCCUUAUCCUUUGUUGCCAGCGGUUAGGCCGGGAACUCAAAGGAGACUGCCAGUGAUAAACUGGAGGAAGGUGGGGAUGACGUCAAGUCAUCAUGGCCCUUACGACCAGGGCUACACACGUGCUACAAUGGCAUAUACAAAGAGAAGCGACCUCGCGAGAGCAAGCGGACCUCAUAAAGUAUGUCGUAGUCCGGAUUGGAGUCUGCAACUCGACUCCAUGAAGUCGGAAUCGCUAGUAAUCGUAGAUCAGAAUGCUACGGUGAAUACGUUCCCGGGCCUUGUACACACCGCCCGUCACACCAUGGGAGUGGGUUGCAAAAGAAGUAGGUAGCUUAACCUUCGGGAGGGCGCUUACCACUUUGUGAUUCAUGACUGGGGUGAAGUCGUAACAAGGUAACCGUAGGGGAACCUGCGGUUGGAUCACCU
rnacentral:rRNA from 3 species